rnacentral:rRNA from 1 species
GACGGAGGGUGAAAGCGUUGCUCGGACUCACUGGGAGUAAAGGGCACGUAGGCGGCUUGGUAAGUAUGAUGUGAAAGCCCACGACUCAAUCGUGGAAGUGCAUUGGAUACUGCUUAGCUAGAGUGCAGGAGGGGUAAGCGGAAGUCCAGGUGUAGAGGUGAAAUUCGUAGAUAUCUGGAGGAACAAAGGUGGCGAAGGCGGCUUACUGGACUGUUACUGACGCUGAGGUGCGAAAGUGUGGGGAGCGAACAGG